rnacentral:tRNA from 1 species
AGCUUUAUAGUCAAUUUAUGACAUUAGACUGCAAUUCUAAAGGAGUGUUUUUUAUACUAAGGCUU